rnacentral:rRNA from 1 species
GCUCCGUGUCGUGAGAUGUUGGGUUAAGUCCCGUAACGAGCGCAACCCUUGUCCUUAGUUACCAGCACGUUAUGGUGGGCACUCUAAGGAGACUGCCGGUGACAAACCGGAGGAAGGUGGGGAUGACGUCAAGUCAUCAUGGCCCUUACGGCCUGGGCUACACACGUGCUACAAUGGUCGGUACAAAGGGUUGCCAAGCCGCGAGGUGGAGCUAAUCCCAUAAAACCGAUCGUAGUCCGGAUCGCAGUCUGCAACUCGACUGCGUGAAGUCGGAAUCGCUAGUAAUCGUGAAUCAGAAUGUCACGGUGAAUACGUUCCCGGGCCUU